UGGGGAAUAUUGGACAAUGGGCGCAAGCCUGAUCCAGCCAUGCCGCGUGUGUGAAGAAGGCCUUUUGGUUGUAAAGCACUUUAAGCGAGGAGGAGGCUACUUGGAUUAAUACUCUAGGAUAGUGGACGUUACUCGCAGAAUAAGCACCGGCUAACUCUGUGCCAGCAGCCGCGGUAAUACAGAGGGUGCGAGCGUUAAUUGGAUUUACUGGGCGUAAAGCGUGCGUAGGCGGCUUCUUAAGUCGGAUGUGAAAUCCCUGAGCUUAACUUAGGAAUUGCAUUCGAUACUGGGAAGCUAGAGUAUGGGAGAGGAUGGUAGAAUUCCAGGUGUAGCGGUGAAAUGCGUAGAGAUCUGGAGGAAUACCGAUGGCGAAGGCAGCCAUCUGGCCUAAUACUGACGCUGAGGUACGAAAGCAUGGGGAGCAAACAGG
rnacentral:rRNA from 1 species